rnacentral:miRNA from 1 species
UGGGCAGGAGACAGCAGGGC